rnacentral:rRNA from 1 species
GAUGAACGCUGGCGGCGUGCUUAACACAUGCAAGUCGAACGAAACACCUUAUUUGAUUUCCUUCGGGACUGAUUAUUUUGUGACUGAGUGGCGGACGGGUGAGUAACGCGUGGUUAACCUGCCUUGUACAGGGGGAAAACAGUUGGAAACGGCUGCUAAUACCGCAUAAGAGCACAGCAUCGCAUGAUGCUGGGUGAAAAACUCCGGUGGGAUACGAUGGACCCGCGUUGGGUUAGCUAGGUGGUGAGGUAACGGCCCCCGAAGGCGACGAUCCAUAGACGGGAAGAGAGGGUGACCCGCCACAUUUGGACUGGGAAACGGCCGAAACUCCUACGGGAGGGAGGAGUGGGUAAUAUUGCACAACCGGCGAAAGGCUGAUGCAGCGACGCCGCGAGAGCGAAGAAGUAGUGCGGGAUGUAAAGCUCUAUCAGCAGGGAAGAUAAUGACGGUACCUGAAGAAGAAGCACCGGCUAAAUACGUG